CAGGCUUGUAUGUUGGAUUGAUACGACUACCUGUAAAUAUGGUUAAACUUGGCUAUGUGAUUCAAAGGUUGUGGUUCACCGAGCGAUAAAGAAAAUGAUACAAAGAUGGAAUGAUUGGAUGCAAGUUAUCAGUUACAGUGUUUCAUAUGACAGGUAUUCUGAUUGUGGAAGAUGUGGGCUUGCAAUAUUUUGACAAUUGCAUGGCUGUAAAGUACGAGACAAUUAAUAUAGUACUCCAUUACUCUAAUUGCCAGAACACUGCAUCAGAAUGAGAAGUUGUCUGUUACAGUUAGGUUUAGUAAAAGUAUAGUAAAAGUACAUAGUCAACUAUGUAAAAUGUAAUUUAGUCAGUGUCAAAUAAAUAUUUUGUCAUGGAUAAACUCUGUGCAAAUGAGCAUGUCUCUAAUGUCAUUUUACUUUUAAUAAGAAUAUGUAGAUGUGUUUUCUAAUACACCUCCUUAGGUUUGCUGUGUUAUUAUAGCAUCUUUUGUAG